AAUCAACGCUGGCGGCGUGCCUCAGACAUGCAAGUCGAACGCGAAAGGCCCCUUCGGGGGCCCGGUAGAGUGGCGCACGGGUGAGUAACACGUAGGUAAUUUGCCUUCGGGUGGGGAAUAACAGCCGGAAACGGCUGCUAAUACCGCAUAAUGCAGCGGCUCGACAUCGAGACAGUUGUUAAAGCGGGGGAUCGCAAGACCUCGCGCCUGAAGAGAAGCCUGCGGCAGAUAGCUUGUUGGUGAGGUAAUGGCUCACCAAGGCGACGAUCUGUAACCGGCCUGAGAGGGCGGUCGGUCACACUGACACUGACAUACGGGUCAGACUCCUACGGGAGGCAGCAGUCGGG
rnacentral:rRNA from 1 species